rnacentral:lncRNA from 1 species
GUGCCUUUUGUAAGCGCACCCAGACUGGCCUGCUUGUUUAAAGACAUGAGGGAAGCUUCUGCCUAAUACUGUGUUCCUUAGGAUUGUGAGGACAGAAGUACCAAAACCAAACAAAAAGAAACCAACAAGACAACCAUGAAACUCCAAACACAAGACAACAUUGAUAAUACUGGAGGCUGCCAUGGGAGAAGUCUGCACAAAAAGAGCAAGUUUAAGAGCUUCAGGAGUCAUAAAUGGCUUGAGAAGAUUAUGCUAGAGAUUGAAGCAGAUGGAAGAUUCUAGAAACAGAAAGCAUUCUUUUCAUUGGUGUGAGUCUUGAAUAUAAAUGGAAAUCAGAGGUCUGUAAUAGCAGGCCAGUGUGGAUAAGGCAGUAAGGUUUUGAGUCUGAGGAGAUGGCUGGGGGCAGUUUGUAGACUUAUUGUCAGUCCAGUGUAGAAUUUGAGAAUAUAGCCAGGGCUUAAGGUUCCAGUUUCAAAUUAAAGACAAAAGAAAUCAGCAAUACCAAAAUGAAGACAGAAGCCUGGGAAUUGUGCCUCAAGAUCUGGACUGAGAGGACAUUUCUACACAACAGCUCCCCUAAGGGCAGGGCUAUGACCGUUGUUGCUAAGCUGUCACCAUCUCUCCUUCCCUAUUAGACUGGCUUCUGUGGGGUAAUUAACCAGUACAAGGAUGUAUGGGAAGCUCUUCUGAGAAGACCUCACAUUAAAACAAAGUGUUGUUAUUCAA